rnacentral:rRNA from 1 species
AGUGAACGCUGGCGGUAGGCCUAACACAUGCAAGUCGAACGGCAGCACAGUAAGAGCUUGCUCUUACGGGUGGCGAGUGGCGGACGGGUGAGGAAUACAUCGGAAUCUACUUUUUCGUGGGGGAUAACGUAGGGAAACUUACGCUAAUACCGCAUACGACCUACGGGUGAAAGCAGGGGAUCUUCGGACCUUGCGCGAUUGAAUGAGCCGAUGUCGGAUUAGCUAGUUGGCGGGGUAAAGGCCCACCAAGGCGACGAUCCGUAGCUGGUCUGAGAGGAUGGUUAGCCAACCUGGAAACUGGACACGGGCCAUGCUCCUACGGGAGGGCACAGUGGGGAAUUAUGGGCAAUGGGGGGAAAGCUUGUCCAACCAUAACGCGUUGGUUGAAGAAGCCCUUCGGGUGGUAAGGCCCUUUUGUGGGGAAAAAAAGCAACCGGGUUAUACCCCGCUGGUCUGACGGUAACCAAAAAAUAAGCACCGGCUAACUUCGUG